GGUUAAGCGACUAAGCGUACACGGUGGAUGCCCUGGCAGUCAGAGGCGAUGAAGGACGUGCUAAUCUGCGAAAAGCGUCGGUAAGGUGAUAUGAACCGUUAUAACCGGCGAUGUCCGAAUGGGGAAACCCAGUGUGAUUCGUCACACUAUCGUUAACUGAAUACAUAGGUUAACGAGGCGAACCGGGGAACUGAAACAUCUAAGUACCCCGAGGAAAAGAAAUCAACCGAGAUUCCCCAGUAGCGGCGAGCGAACGGGGAGCAGCCCAGAGUCUGAAUCAGCUUGUGUGUUAGUGGAACGGUCUGGAAAGUCCGACGGUACAGGGUGAUAGUCCCGUACACCAAAAUGCACAGGUUGUGAACUCGAAGAGUAGGGCGGGACACGUGGUAUCCUGUCUGAAUAUGGGGACCAUCCUCCAAGGCUAAAUACUCCUGACUGACCGAUAGUGAACCAGUACCGUGAGGGAAAGGCGAAAAGAACCCCGGCGAGGGAGUGAAAAAGAACCUGAAACCGUGUACGUACAAGCAGUGGGAGCACCUUCGGGUGUGACUGCGUACCUUUGUAUAAUGGGUCAGCGACUUAUAUUCUGUAGCAAGGUUAACCGUAUAGGGGAGCCGCAGGGAAACCGAGUCUUAACUGGGCGUUAAGUUGCAGGGUAUAGACCCGAAACCCGGUGAUCUAGCCAUGGGCAGGUUGAAGGUUGGGUAACACUAACUGGAGGACCGAACCGACUAAUGUUGAAAAAUUAGCGGAUGACUUGUGGCUGGGGUGAAAGGCCAAUCAAACCGGGAGAUAGCUGGUUCUCCCGAAAGCUAUUUAGGUAGCGCCUCGUGAAUUCAUCUUCGGGGUAGAGCACUGUUUCGGCUAGGGGUCAUCCCGACUUACCAACCCGAUGCAAACUACGAAUACCGAAGAAUGUUAUCACGGGAGACACACGGCGGGUGCUAACGUCCGUCGUGAAGAGGGAAACAACCCAGACCGCCAGCUAAGGUCCCAAAGUCAUGGUUAAGUGGGAAACGAUGUGGGAAGGCACAGACAGCCAGGAUGUUGGCUUAGAAGCAGCCAUCAUUUAAAGAAAGCGUAAUAGCUCACUGGUCGAGUCGGCCUGCGCGGAAGAUGUAACGGGGCUAAACCAUGCACCGAAGCUGCGGCAGCGACACUAUGUGUUGUUGGGUAGGGAGCGUUCUGUAAGCCUGCGAAGGUGACCUGUGAGGGUUGCUGGAGGUAUCAGAAGUGCGAAUGCUGACAUAAGUAACGAUAAAGCGGGUGAAAAGCCCGCUCGCCGGAAGACCAAGGGUUCCUGUCCAACGUUAAUCGGGGCAGGGUGAGUCGACCCCUAAGGCGAGGCCGAAAGGCGUAGUCGAUGGGAAACAGGUUAAUAUUCCUGUACUUGGUGUUACUGCGAAGGGGGACGGAGAAGGCUAUGUUAGCCGGGCGACGGUUGUCCCGGUUUAAGCAUGUAGGCUGGUUAUCCAGGCAAAUCCGGAUAAUCAAGGCUGAGGUGUGAUGACGAGGCACUACGGUGCUGAAGUAACAAAUGCCCUGCUUCCAGGAAAAGCCUCUAAGCAUCAGGUAACAUCAAAUCGUACCCCAAACCGACACAGGUGGUCAGGUAGAGAAUACCAAGGCGCUUGAGAGAACUCGGGUGAAGGAACUAGGCAAAAUGGUGCCGUAACUUCGGGAGAAGGCACGCUGGUGUGUAGGUGAAGUCCCUGCGGAUGGAGCUGAGACCAGUCGAAGAUACCAGCUGGCUGCAACUGUUUAUUAAAAACACAGCACUGUGCAAACACGAAAGUGGACGUAUACGGUGUGACGCCUGCCCGGUGCCGGAAGGUUAAUUGAUGGGGUUAUCCGUAAGGAGAAGCUCUUGAUCGAAGCCCCGGUAAACGGCGGCCGUAACUAUAACGGUCCUAAGGUAGCGAAAUUCCUUGUCGGGUAAGUUCCGACCUGCACGAAUGGCGUAAUGAUGGCCAGGCUGUCUCCACCCGAGACUCAGUGAAAUUGAACUCGCUGUGAAGAUGCAGUGUACCCGCGGCAAGACGGAAAGACCCCGUGAACCUUUACUAUAGCUUGACACUGAACAUUGAGCCUUGAUGUGUAGGAUAGGUGGGAGGCUUUGAAGCGUGGACGCCAGUCUGCGUGGAGCCAACCUUGAAAUACCACCCUUUAAUGUUUGAUGUUCUAACGUUGGCCCCUGACCGGGGUUGCGGACAGUGUCUGGUGGGUAGUUUGACUGGGGCGGUCUCCUCCCAAAGCGUAACGGAGGAGCACGAAGGUUAGCUAAUCCUGGUCGGACAUCAGGAGGUUAGUGCAAUGGCAUAAGCUAGCUUGACUGCGAGCGUGACGGCGCGAGCAGGUGCGAAAGCAGGUCAUAGUGAUCCGGUGGUUCUGAAUGGAAGGGCCAUCGCUCAACGGAUAAAAGGUACUCCGGGGAUAACAGGCUGAUACCGCCCAAGAGUUCAUAUCGACGGCGGUGUUUGGCACCUCGAUGUCGGCUCAUCACAUCCUGGGGCUGAAGUAGGUCCCAAGGGUAUGGCUGUUCGCCAUUUAAAGUGGUACGCGAGCUGGGUUUAGAACGUCGUGAGACAGUUCGGUCCCUAUCUGCCGUGGGCGCUGGAGAAUUGAGGGGCUGCUCCUAGUACGAGAGGACCGGAGUGGACGCAUCACUGGUGUUCGGGUUGUCAUGCCAAUGGCACUGCCCGGUAGCUAAAUGCGGAAGAGAUAAGUGCUGAAAGCAUCUAAGCACGAAACUUGCCCCGAGAUGAGUUCUCCCUGAGACUUUAAGUCUCCUGAAGGAACGUUGAAGACGACGACGUUGAUAGGCCGGGUGUGUAAGCGCAGCGAUGCGUUGAGCUAACCGGUACUAAUGAACCGUGAGGCUUAACCUU
rnacentral:rRNA from 1 species